AUGGCGACGACGAUGACAAUGCGCGGGACGGCGGCGGGGGCCGUCCUCCUGCUGGCGCUGCUGCUGCUGUCCACGACGGUGGCCCGGGCCGAGGACCCGUACGUGUUCAUGGAGUGGCACGUGACGUACGGGACCAAGAACAUCGUGGGCACGCCGCAGAAGGUGAUCCUCAUCAACGGCGAGUUCCCGGGCCCCCGGAUCAACUGCUCCUCCAACAACAACAUCGUCGUCAACGUCUUCAACGAGCUGGACCAGCCGCUCCUCUUCACCUGGAACGGCAUCCAGCACCGCAAGAACUCGUGGCAGGACGGCCUCCCGGGCACCAACUGCCCCGUCGCCCCCGGCACCAAUUACACCUACCACUGGCAGCCCAAGGACCAGAUCGGCACCUUCUUCUACUUCCCCUCCAUCGGCAUGCAGCGCGUCGUCGGCGGCUUCGGCCUCAUCAGCGUCGUCAGCCGCCUCCUCAUCCCGGUCCCCUACGACCCGCCCGCCGACGACCUGCAGGUCCUCAUCGGCGACUGGUUCACCAAGGACCACGCCGUCAUGGCCAGCCUCCUCGACGCCGGCCGCAACUUCGGCCGCCCCGCGGGCGUGCUCAUCAACGGCAGGGGCGGCAAGGAGGCGGCCGACCCGCCCAUGUUCACCUGGGAGGCCGCCAAGACGUACCAACUCCGCAUCUGCAACGUCGGCAUCAAGUCGUCGCUCAACUUCCGCAUCCAGGGCCACGACAUGAAGCUCGUGGAGAUGGACGGCUCCCACACGAUACAGGGCAUGUACGAGUCGCUCGACGUGCACGUGGGCCAGUGCAUGGCCGUCCUCGUCGACGCCGACCAGAAGCCCGCGGACUACCUCAUGGUGGCCUCCACCAGGUUCAUGGCUGGCCCCAGCUCCGUCUCCGCCGUCAUCCGCUACGCCGGCUCCAACACCCCGCCGGCGGCUAACGUCCCGGAGCCGCCGGCCGGCUGGGCCUGGUCGAUCAACCAGUGGAGGUCCUUCCGGUGGAACCUGACGGCCAGCGCGGCGCGUCCCAACCCGCAGGGGUCCUACCACUACGGCCAGAUCAACAUCACCCGCACCAUCAAGCUCAUGGUCACCCGCGGCCACAUCGACGGCAAGCUCAGGUACGGCUUCAACGGCGUGUCCCACGUGGACGCCGACACACCCCUGAAGCUCGCCGAGUACUUCAACGUCAGCGACCAGGUGUUCAAGUACAACCAGAUGGGCGACGAACCCCCUGCCGUGAACGGCCCCAUGCACGUCGUGCCCAACGUCAUCAGCGCCGAGUUCCGCACCUUCAUCGAGGUCGUCUUCGAGAACCCCGAGAAGAGCAUGGAGUCCGUCCACAUCGACGGCUACGCCUUCUUCGCCGUCGGGAUGGGGCCGGGGAAGUGGACGCCGGCGGAGAGGAAGACGUACAACCUGCUGGACGCGGUGAGCAGGCACACGAUCCAGGUGUACCCGCGGUCGUGGUCGGCGGUGAUGCUGACGUUCGACAACGCGGGGAUGUGGAACGUGAGGACCAACCUGUGGGAGAGGCACUACCUCGGGGAGCAGCUCUACAUGAGCGUCGUCUCGCCGGCGAGGUCGCUGCGCGACGAGUACAACAUGCCAGAGAACGCCCUCCGCUGCGGCAAGGUCGUCGGCCUGCCGAUGCCGCCGUCCUACCUCCCCGCCUGA
rnacentral:rRNA from 1 species